UCUCCUUGAGGGGCCUCUGCCUCUAUCCAGGAUUAAUAUACUAUGACCAGGAGGCUGAGGUCCUUACAGGCGGC
rnacentral:pre_miRNA from 1 species